CAGGGAGGAGAGCAAGGAGGAAGGUCGACAGGCAUGCCCAUGCUCACCGUUGGGUCAUCCAGCAGAAAGCUGCCGUCACACCUGCAGGGACCAGCAGGACCAUGAGAUCCCGCAUCCAUCAGCUGAGAACCACUGGGUGAGGAGGGCAGGCUGGGGUGGCCUCCGCCAAGGGGCCCUGGUGGGAGAGCACUGGACAUGCUAGCAGGGGAGGAGAGAGGUGCCCUGUUUUGCCAACUUGGACUUAUGUUACGAUUACAUCUAAGGCUAGGUAAGGCACAUCCUAGGCUGACCUGGUAACCAGACCUAAAUUGCAAGGAAUCAAGGAACAGGAAGUCUUUGCCUGGAUGUUGAAGGCAGGCCCAUGUCCUUGGAAGCUGGGGAGGAACCUUCCCCUGGGACGGGCCCAGAACACCCCUGAAUUUCUGACUCAGGUAAGCAGGUCUCAGCACCCAGUGCUCGUUUCCCACAUGUGGAGCUGAAAGAUCCCUGGCACCUUCAGCAAGUUCUAGUCAACAAUCCAGUGUGCCGUUGCUCUCUAACGCUCUCCCUCCUGGGGCUGCCCUCCCUGCCCCUCCGUCUUGCAGAGAGCUAUGGGAGUCAAGCCUUACCUCCCUCCACCCCCGUCACAGUAGUCCACACCACCCUCUGCUGUCUCUGAGUCACUCCCAUCCAGGAUAGAAAAGGAGCCUGCUUGAAGACAGAGCUCACUGUGCCUCAGUGGAUCCCCAAGAAAUGACCUCAGGGGGACUCUACCCUCCCUUUAAUCCCCAUCCGCUUCUCCUCUCCUUCUCCUGGCCACCCUUCCCCACACCCUAUCCAAGUAAGACCAGUGUGCUGAUAGACCGAGACGCUGCAAGACCAACCGCCAGCGCCCCCCAACGGAGAGCAGAGUCCUGCAUAGAAAUGCUGAAGGGGCACUUAAACAUAGAAAGCAAGUUUUAACAGACCUAAAGGGAGAAAGAGACUGCAAUACAACUGUUGGGGACUUUAGUACCCACUUACAGCAGUGGAUAGAUCAUCCAGACAGAAAAUAAUAAGGAAAUGUCGGCUUUAAAUGACACAUCAGAAAUCCUGGCGGCUCCUCUGGCUCUCAUCCUUCCUGGCUGGCUGAGCUGGGGCUGGGUACAAGCUCUCCAAGCCUCAGUUUCCUCCUCUGUCAAGUGGAGAUAGUGCUCCCUGUCUUACUUGUGACGUGGAUUGAACAGAUGAUCCGUGAAGACUUGUGAGUGAUGGAGCACCAACCAGACAUGAGGAGGCUGCCAUCCCGAUGGCUGGAUCACAUGGCUCUCCCCCCGCCUCGAGCAGGCAUCUCGUCUCCGCAGGUGGACUGUGCGCAGCCGGGCGGGGCUGGGCCUCUCCGCACACAUCUGCGUGUCCCUCAGUGCCAAGCGCAGAGCGGAGGCUCUAAGAGCAGGGAUAUGUCUGUCUGUCCACUGCUUGCCCCAACAGCCCCAGCGGCCGGCACCUAGGACAGUCCUCAGGAAAUACCUGAAAAUAUUGGAUGCCGUUCUCCCAUGUUGCAGCUGAGGGGAGAGAAGCCAGCGAACUUCAAACCCACCCAAAGGUGUAUAAAAGAGGAGCAGAGCCACAUGGAGACCCCCAGGCUCUUCCCUUUCCUCUCUGGCACCUGCCGACGGGCGAGGGCCAGACAGGGGCACAGCCUGUGGCUGACGUGGCUUCAGCCUCUGCCCUCUGAAGACAAAGGCACAUUGAGUCUCCGCCAGCCUGCAGCUCGUGGCCUUCUCUGUCCAGAUCUUGGCCUGUUUCCUGGUCCUGGUGGACCACGCCCCGGGGCAGGCUGCUUCGCUCACCAUUAAGAGCCUGAGGCCUUCGGAUGCAGAACUGAGAGGGGAGGAUUGGGUCUGGGUGUGAGUCAAGACCGGAAAUACAGCCCACUCAUCCCCCAAGCUUCUCGGCACCUGCCUUCUUCAGAGGCUGACGUUCCAUGUGGACCCCUCUCCUCCUCCUCCUUCCUCUCUCUCCCUCUCUUCUUCCUUCCUUUAUUUAUUUCUGCACAUGAUUAUUGAUGCACCAUAAUGUUCAUUGUAUUCAUUGCAGUCUUUUGAAAAUAACAUAAACCUAAGACAGGCUUAAGUGUUGCCUUUUGGAGCCUGGAAUUCUGUACCUUGUUAAAAAGAAAUAAAG
ensembl:lncRNA